UACGGGGGGGGUAAGCGUUGUUCGGAAUUACUGGGCGUAAAGGGCUCGUAGGCGGCCAACUAAGUCAGACGUGAAAUCCCUCAGCUUAACUGGGGAACUGCGUCUGAUACUGGAUGGCUAGAGUUUGGGAGAGGGAUGCGGAAUUCCAGGUGUAGCGGUGAAAUGCGUAGAUAUCUGGAGGAACACCGGUGGCGAAGGCGGCAUCCUGGACCAACACUGACGCUGAGGAGCGACAGCGUGGGGAGCAAACAGG
rnacentral:rRNA from 1 species